rnacentral:rRNA from 1 species
AGAGUUUGAUCAUGGCUCAGGACGAACGCUGGCGGGNNNUUAACACAUGCAAGUCGAGCGAUAACCAUGGCUUCGGCCAUGGGGAGAGCGGCGAACGGGUGAGUAACACGUGAGUGAUCUGCCCUCGACACUGGGAUAGCCCGGGGAAACCCGGAUUAAUACCGGAUAGCCUUUCGAGCCUACGGGCUCGUCAGAAAAGAUGGCUUCGGCAUUCGGUCGAGGAGGAGCUUGCGGCGGAUUAGCUUGUUGGUGGGGUAACGGCUCACCAAGGCGACGAUCCGUAGCUGGUCUGAGAGGACGAUCAGCCACACUGGGACUGAGACACGGCCCAGACUCCUACGGGAGGCAGCAGUGGGGAAUCUUGCGCAAUGGGCGAAAGCCUGACGCAGCGACGCCGCGUGAGGGAAGAAGGCCUUCGGGUUGUAAACCUCUUUCAGGAGGGACGAAGCUACUCGGGUGAAUAGCCCAGAGGGUGACGGUACCUCCAGAAGAAGCCCCGGCUAACUACGUGCCAGCAGCCGCGGUAAUACGUAGGGGGCAAGCGUUGUCCGGAAUCAUUGGGCGUAAAGAGCGUGUAGGCGGCCAGAAAAGUCCGCUGUGAAAACUCGAGGCUCAACUUCGAGCUGUCGGUGGAAACUUUCUGGCUAGAGUCCGGAAGAGGAGAAUGGAAUUCCUGGUGUAGCGGUGAAAUGCGCAGAUAUCAGGAAGAACACCCGUGGCGAAGGCGGUUCUCUGGGACGGUACUGACGCUGNNNNNCGAAAGCGUGGGGAGCGAACAGGAUUAGAUACCCUAGUAGUCC